AUACAUGCAGUCGAGCGGACCGACGGGAGCUUGCUCCCUUAGGUCAGCGGCGGACGGGUGAGUAACACGUGGGUAACCUGCCUGUAAGACUGGGAUAACUCCGGGAAACCGGGGCUAAUACCGGAUGCUUGAUUGAACCGCAUGGUUCAAUCAUAAAAGGCGGCUUCGGCUGCCGUUUACAGAUGGACCCGCGGCGCAUUAGCUAGUUGGUGAGGUAACGGCUCACCAAGGCGACGAUGCGUAGCCGACCUGAGAGGGUGAUCGGCCACACUGGGACUGAGACACGGCCCAGACUCCUACGGGAGGCAGCAGUAGGGAAUCUUCCGCAAUGGACGAAAGUCUGACGGAGCAACGCCGCGUGAGUGAUGAAGGUUUUCGGAUCGUAAAGCUCUGUUGUUAGGGAAGAACAAGUACCGUUCGAAUAGGGCGGUACCUUGACGGUACCUAACCAGAAAGCCACGGCUAACUACGUGCCAGCAGCCGCGGUAAUACGUAUGUGGCAAGCGUUGUCCGGAAUUAUUGGGCGUAGAGCGCGCGCACGCGGUUUCUUAACUCUGAUGUGAAAGCCCGCGGCUCAACCGGGGAGGGUCAUUGGA
rnacentral:rRNA from 1 species